UACGGGGGGGGCAAGCGUUGUUCGGAAUUACUGGGCGUAAAGCGCACGCAGGCGGUUUGUUAAGUCAGAUGUGAAAUCCCCGCGCUUAACGUGGGAACUGCAUUUGAAACUGGCAAGCUAGAGUCUCGUAGAGGGGGGUAGAAUUCCAGGUGUAGCGGUGAAAUGCGUAGAGAUCUGGAGGAAUACCGGUGGCGAAGGCGGCCCCCUGGACGAAGACUGACGCUCAGGUGCGAAAGCGUGGGGAGCAAACAGG
rnacentral:rRNA from 1 species